rnacentral:lncRNA from 1 species
UUUUUUUUUUUUUUUUUAACAAAGAACACAGCUAAUAUAAUGGGAUGCCACUUUGAAGAUUAGGUUACAGAAAGACUGUGGCUUCUGUCUUGAUUGUCCUCUCUCUCUGUUUCUUUCUCUGAAGGAAGCCAGUUGCCGUGUUGUGACUUUCUAUGGAGAGACCCAAAUGGCAAGGAACUGAUGUCUCUGGCCAAUAGCAUUGUAGAACUGGGUCCUGUUGACAGCCAUGUAUGUGUGCUGAGAAGCCAGUCCUACCCCAGUCAAGCCUUAAGAUGCCUGCAACUCUGCACACACCUUGAAUAUAGCUUUGUGAGAGAUCUUGACACAGAGGAACCUGAAGAACCUACAUCUGGAUUCCCGACCCACAGACAUGGUGAGAUAAUAAAUAAAUACUGUUAAGCCGCUAAAUUUUGGCAUAACUGGUGACAAUAUACAGCUAAUACAACUCAUUUAAAAAUAGUAACAAUCUUUUCUAUGAAAAAUAACUAUUUUUCAAACUAAAACGAGUAGUGCGAUGAGUGAUACUGUUUUCAUUUUUGCAAAUCUCUCUAAUGUUUAGUUUCAUAGAAAACAUCUGGUUUCUCGUAUCUGCUUCUGAAUUUAAUCUGUUGCAGUCCAUCAUUUUGGUUGAAAUAUAUGAAGAAAAUCCAGCUUUAGACAUAGAUACAUAGUUUGUAAAAGUAAGGAAUAUUUUAAUACUCUUUCCUGGUGUGCUCCCUUUGGCAGCACAUAUAUAAUACUUUCCUGGUGAGUGUGGAUAAUCUUCUUUGAUCCUAUACCAGCUUUCAGUAAGUGGUAGUUUCCCAAAUGUCAGUUGCAAUAUAGAAAUCAUACUCUGUUACAUUAAAAUUUAUUGGUCUUUUUUUUUUUAAGAUUUUAUUUAUUCAUGAGAGACACAAAGGAACAGAGUAACACAGAGGGAGAAGCAGGCUCCCUGAGGGAUCCUGGUACGGGAUUCAAUCCCAGGACCCUGGGAUCACAUCCUGAGCCAAAGGCAGACGCUCAACCACUUAGCCACUCAGGCAUCCCCUGUCUUGUACUUUGACUGGAUCUUCUACUAAUGCAUGAUUCUGUAGACAUCGUACACUGAUCAUUUGGAUAAUAUUGGACCUUUGAUUUUUAUAAAUCUUCCGUUGACAUGUUUCAUCAUGCAACAACCUCCCUGUCCUCCCCGACUCCUCCACCCCUCAAAAAACUGUUAAUAUUACUACUACUGCUCUUAUCAGAAAAUAGUCUUUAAGUUUGCAGAAGCUAUAAUAUUACCUAUUAUUGCAUAGAAAAUUACCCAAAUUUAGAAACUUAGAACAACAAGUUUAUACUGUUUCACAGUUUCUGUGGGUCAGGAAUCCAGAGUGGCUUGGCCGGGUGACUCAGGGUCAGGGUCUUUCAAGAGGUUGCAGUCAAGCUGUUGGCUGGGCUGCAGUCAUUUUAAGGCACAAUUGAGAGACAGUCUACUUCCAAACUCACUCAUGUGCAUUUGGCAGGCUUCAGAAGAUCUACUUCCAAGUUUACUCACAUGGUUGCUUGUAAGCCUGGGUUCCUUGCCAAGUGAACCUUUCCAUAGGCUGCUCAAGUGUUCUCAACAUGUAGCAGUUGGCUUUCCUCUAUCAGGGCUACCUCAUAUCCUGGCAGCUUGUCCCAGAUGAGUGAUGAGAGAGAGAGAGAGAGAAUAUAAAUAUAAAAGAGCUCACCUAUGACAGAAGCAUAGUCAUUUUAUAACCUAAUCACAAUAGGAUAGCUCAUCACUUCAGCCAUAUUCUGUUCAGUAGAAAUGGUCCAGCCCACAAUCAAGGGGUGGGAAACUAAGCCAGACUCCUUGAGGAGAACUAUAUCAAAGAAUAUGGGGACAUAGCUACAUAACCACCACAAAGUCGGCAACUCAUGGUGCCAGAUGCAAGUUUUCCCAAAUUUUUAUUUUUAUUUUAAAUUUAUCAUUGGCAAUAAACACUGUCACUUGUUUUUCUUGAAAUGACAGCCUUAUUUCUUUCACUUUUGAGAAAAUACCUUGCCUAACACUCAACUCUGUAUAACCAGUUUCUCUCAGUUGUUCUUUCAAGUGAAAAUGAUAUUCCAUGAAAAAAAAACACUAAUUCAUGUCACAGAUCAAGACAAGUAUACAUACUAUUGCUUUUACUUUGAGACAAUUAUGUAUUUCCGUAUGCAGCAGAAGGGCUUUAUGCAUACUUCCUAUUAACUCAUAUACAACAUUGAAAUGAUAUAUAUAUAAUCAUAUAUAUAUGAUAUAUAUCUAAUUAAUCUAAUAAGAUUAAUCACUUUUAUUGCUUCAUCCAGGAUAUUCCUAGGCAAAGCUGAAUUUGGGUGCGGGAUGGAGAACAGAUACAGUGCUCAGGACUUUAGACUGGGAAAAUCAUUGUAGGAAGAGACAAAUCAGGAAAAGCUUCAUGGGGAAAGGUGUGUGUUGAGAUUAGCUGGGAAUUACAUUUCAACUGGCAGAGAACAGGAAAGGUGGGAGAGAUAAAUAAGCAAAUCCAAUGGGGCUGGAAUGAAAUGAGUGUUUACAUUCAAGAGGAGAGCAAGGGAAGGCUGUUUGGGAACAAACUGUAGACUAGAUCUGGGUACCUGUGGAGGGACCCAGACUGAUAUCUUCACAAAAUAGAGCCCACCUGAAUGGACAGUGUGAGGGGAGGAGGCUGCUAGACACCCAGGGGCUUCUCAGGAUGAUAAUCUAGUUAGAAAUGGAAUAGAAGGCUCCCAACAGGCUUCCAUAUGAAGCAGUCACCUUUGACUAUUUGUUGCUCCUGAGGGCACCAAUGCUAGUCACAACCACACAGUUAAGUAAGAGCUCCCCCA